UUUUACAGCCAGAGUUGAGGGCAGAUGAGUUCGGUGCUGUUGUUUUUUCGAUGACGUUUUGGUCUGUAGAGGAGUGAUUUUAAUAUCACAAGUGUUUGGUCUUUGUAUUCAGUGCACACAUUAUGUCUAUAUAGUAGGAGUGGAUCAAGUCUCAUGAGUCCGGUAGAUGAGCUCCAAACUCGGAAAGUGCGCCGUGUUUAGGAUUAUAGUCCUAGUAGAUAAAACAAAAACACUGACUGAUAUUUAUCACAUUAAUUAAUGUCUGAAUAUGGCAGCAAUUCUACAGCAAACUGCGAUUUUUCUUUGUGUACAGUUAGUUUUGUGUGGAAAAUCUUAUAGCCAGAUCGCACCAGCAAAGACCAGCACUUUGCUUCCCACAGGAUCGAACGUAUGUACCUACAGGCAGCGUGUAGAAUCAAAGGACAUAAACGGGAAAUCUACUGUUAAAUACCUGACGGCCUACAGAUGUUGUGAUGGAUGGACCAAAUACAAGAGUCAUUCUGUAG